CUGGCUCAGGAUGAACGCUGGCGGCGUGCCUAACACAUGCAAGUCGAACGGACCUUUACCAACUGCGAUUCGUCAAAGGAAGUAUAAGGUUAGUGGCGGACGGGUGAGUAACGCGUGGGUAACCUGCCUCAUAGAGGGGGAUAACAGUUGGAAACGAUUGCUAAUACCGCAUAAGCCCACAGGACCGCAUGGUCCAGGGGGAAAAGAUUCAUCGCUAUGAGAUGGACCCGCGUUUGAUUAGUUAGUUGGCGGUGUAACGGACCACCAAGACGACGAUCAAUAGCCGGACUGAGAGGUUGAACGGCCACAUUGGGACUGAGACACGGCCCAAACUCCUACGGGAGGCAGCAGUGGGGAAUAUUGCACAAUGGGGGAAACCCUGAAUGCAGCGACGCCGCGUGGGUGAAGAAGUUUUUCGGAAUGUAAAGCCCUAUCAGCAGGGAAGAAAAUGACGGUACCUGACUAAGAAGCCCCGGCUAACUACGUGCCAGCAGCCGC
rnacentral:rRNA from 1 species